rnacentral:rRNA from 1 species
GAUUUACUGGGUGUAAAGGGUGCGUAGAGGGUUUCGUAAGUGUGAAGUGAAAGCCCCGGGCUCAACUGCGGGACGGCUCUUGAUACUGUUAGUCUUGAGUGAUGGAGGGGUAACCGGAAUUCCCA